rnacentral:misc_RNA from 1 species
UGCUCGACGAGGCGUUCCGCGAGAAGAUCCACGCGCGGCAGGCCGGCUGGCGCACGGCCGUACAGGCCGCCAUCCAGCUGGGGAUUCCGGUUCCGGCGAUGAGCGCGUCGCUCGCCUACUUCGACUCGUACCGGACCGACCGCCUGCCGGCCAACCUCACCCAGGCUCAGCGCGAUUUCUUCGGCGCCCACACCUACCGGCGCGUGGACCGCGACGGCGCGUUUCACACCGACUGGACUCCAGAGGCAUGAGCAUCGGAUUCGACAUCCCCAGGGACGGCGCGCUCGACUUUCUCUCGCUCGGCGCGAUCGUGCAUCGGCUCGACCCCGGCCUCGUGCCAUUUCGCAAGGCCACGCGGUGCACGAUUCACGUGAGCGGCGGCGAGUUCAACACGGCCGCCAACCUGUCCGAUUGCUUCCGCCUGCGCACGGGUGUGGCGUCGGCGAUGGUCGACUACCCCAUCGGCGACCUGAUCGCCGAGCGUGUGCGCGCGAUGGGUGUCCGGCCGUUCUACAAGCACUUCGUCCAUGACGGCGCGCGCGGCCCCAACAUGGCGACGGUCUACAGCGACCUCGGCUAUGGCGUGCGCGGCCCCGUGGUCUUCUACAACCGGAGCAACGAGGCGGCUGCGCUGCUCAAGCCAGGCGAUUUCGACUGGGCGGCCAUAUUCGGCGCCGGCGUCCGCUGGUUCCACAGCGGCGGCAUCUUCUCGGCUCUCUCGGAGACGACAGCCGAGCUGAUCAUCGAGGCGAUGAAGGCCGCCAAGGCUCACGGCACCGUGGUGUCGUUCGACCUCAACUUCCGGGAAAAGCUCUGGCAGCUCUCGGGCGGCGUCGCGCGCGCCCAGGCCGUGCUCUCACGCAUCGUCGAGCACGUCGACGUCCUGGUCGGCAACGAAGAGGACCUCCAGAAGGGCCUUGGAAUCCAGGGGCCCGACGUGACGUCGUCGUCAAAGCUCGACUCGAGCGUGUUCACCGGGAUGAUCGAGAACGCCGUCG